ACAAGCGGUGGAUGAUGUGGAUUAAUUCGAUGCAACGCGAAAACCUUACCUACCCUUGACAUGUCUGGAACCUUGGUGAGAGCCGAGGGUGCCUUCGGGAGCCAGAACACAGGUGCUGCAUGGCUGUCGUCAGCUCGUGUCGUGAGAUGUUGGGUUAAGUCCCGCAACGAGCGCAACCCUUGUCACUAGUUGCCAUCAUUUAGUUGGGCACUCUAGUGAGACUGCCGGUGACAAACCGGAGGAAGGUGGGGAUGACGUCAAGUCCUCAUGGCCCUUAUGGGUAGGGCUUCACACGUCAUACAAUGGUCGGUACAGAGGGUUGCCAAGCCGCGAGGUGGAGCCAAUCCCUUAAAGCCGAUCGUAGUCCGGAUCGCAGUCUGCAACUCGACUGCGUGAAGUCGGAAUCGCUAGUAAUCGUGGAUCAGAAUGUCACGGUGAAUACGUUCCCGGGUCUU
rnacentral:rRNA from 1 species